UUUUUUUUUUACAAAGGAACCCAACAUUUGAUUCCCGGCCCUUUUAUUUUUCUUUUUCUUUUCCCUGCGUGAAGCGCGUAGCGAUACGUUUUGUUCCCUUCUUCUUACUUGCGAGCGAAAACUCCAAAUUAAGGCCCCCAGCGCAUCAACGGCAGACACCUGCAGAUUCUGUCCUAUUUCUCCCCUGUUCUUGUACGACUUCAGCAGGCUGGAAGGACACGCGAAACCGCCCUGCAUCACAGGAUGGAGUCACGUCGUGCCAAGGACAUAGAGAUCGAUCUCGAGCGUCCAUUCGCUUUUCCUAUUCCGAUUAAGGUCAGUUUUAUCAGAAAGUAUUGUUGAUCCAAAUGGGGAAAAGGGAUUUCAAAUUCAAAAGGGGACAUAGAAUCUCGAUUUUCCCCUGGGUUUUUUCCGAAAAUUCCCCCGCCUUCCCCCUACCUCAGAACCCUAAAUUGUGCUAUAAAUAAUCCCUUGGAGCAGAAACGUUUCGGGGGGAUUUUUUUUGAAAAACAGAAAUUUUGUCUUUAAGAGCUUUUGGUCGAACUUUUGAGCAAGAGGCAGGGAAGUUUUCUUUGUUUUUCACAGAUAUAGUUAAGAGGGAGAUACAGAUAAAAUAUACAAAAUCAUACAAAAUACAUCCGAAAAGGGAGUGAAGAGUGGGUUUUGGUUAGAAUCUUAUUCUUCUAGUUUGCUCAUCCUUUUCCGCUAAGUUGGUUCGAGUUCGAGUUGCCGUCUAGGUUACUCGUUGGCAGUUGACCUCCUACUUUGUGGUGGUGGAAUCAUCCUCUCCAGCUCGCUCGGUUCCAAGUUUACUGCACUAAGAAAGGGCUCGUUUUCAUUAUGUGCUCGUAUAUGAUUUUGCGUUUAGUCAAGGUUUCGUCAAGUUUCUCGUCCAAACUGAUUUGAUUCGUAUGCAUGGAUUAACUGCUAUCUUAUAUGCUUUUAUGCUUCAUGGGUUCAUAUUGUGUCUACUUUCCUCAUGGUUUGGUUAGAUCACAUUUUGAGUUAAAAUAUACAUGUAAGUUGAAAAUCGACUAACGUGAUUUUAUUUAUGUUUGACAUGUAAAAUCUCCCCGGGGUUCACCACGAAUCCAUCCUCACGCAUAUCGAGAGGUCCAUAAAAACGCAAAUGUUUUCUAUCUUCAUUUUGAGUCAAGCAGUCCAUAGAGGUCGACGGACGGGUCCCAGAGUAUAAAAAUUGAAGAUAGUCGGAGAAGAUAGAUUAGAAGACCCAUUUUUUUCAUGUUUUCUCAUUUCGUAUUGUUUUUAUUUUCGGGCAUAAGACCUUGUCGUCUUUACUUUACUUUAUUUAUUUUAUGUGAUUAUUUGUUUAGUUUAGGACAGGUACAAAAUGAGUCAAAACCCAAAAAGAAAAUUGGUCAAAAACCCAAAACAGGUGGGUUCGAAUUCUAGUCUAGGCGGACAGAAAAAUCGGAUUUGGACCCAAGUCUCUCUC